UUAGCUGUGAUGAGAUGCUAACAAGUAAGAAGAUGCAACUUUGUGUUGUAACUUCGAUGAAAUCCAUUUGUUACGCUUGGCUUCUGAGCAUA